UACGUAGGGUGCGAGCGUUAAUCGGAAUUACUGGGCGUAAAGCGUGCGCAGGCGGUUUUGUAAGACAGGUGUGAAAUCCCCGGGCUUAACCUGGGAACUGCGCUUGUGACUGCAAGACUCGAGUACGGCAGAGGGGGUAGAAUUCCACGUGUAGCAGUGAAAUGCGUAGAGAUGAUGGAGGAAUACCGAUGGCGAAGGCAGCCCCCUGGGUCGAUACUGACCGCUCAUGCACGAAGCGUGGGGAGCAAACAGG
rnacentral:rRNA from 1 species